rnacentral:lncRNA from 1 species
AAUGGAAGAAUAUAUGGUUGAAGCUAGAACAUGAAUCAUAACUUAUAUUUCCUGAUUGUCUUCGACGAACUCAUUUUCACUCCAAGUGAUGCAUCUUUAUAUGAUGAUCCAUCAAUUUUGCCUUCUGGUUUUCACAUCAUUCUUCAUGAUUCUGCAAGGUAUUUACUUAAAAACUGGUUGUUCGCUUCCCAUUUUGUUUGAACAAUGACGUUGAUUCCUCCACCCUCUAUAUGAUGUAGGAUGAUGUGAGUCCAGACCAAGUAACUUAUCUUGCCUCUGCUCUUGGUGUUGGAACCACAGGGAAUGGAGCAGCAAAGCGGAAUGUCCUCUACAAAUGCCUAGACUACG